CUGCUUUCCUGUCAUGUCUACUUUCCCUAGGAUCUCAUCCUUCCAGACUGUGGGCUUCACGUUGCUGUGAGGAAGGAGUGUGGCACAGGCAGACCUCCAGUGCUCUGAGUGGAAUACCAAUGGAGUUUUCAUUUUGGGUUUGGCAUGCACAGAGAUGAGAAAUAAAAAUGAAAAGAUUUCCAGAAAGAAGCCAUGAUAAAGUUUAAUGUUUCACAGUCCAAGCUAAUGUCCAUGGAUAAUUGGCGAAAUGAUCUGAAAAAAUGGAUUCCUGGCAGAAGAAGUGUAACUAGACUAAUGCAAGGUUAUCUCCCUCACUACAAGAAGCCAGAGAGCCAGCUCUCCUACCAUGUGCAUAUACAGAUUUGCAGCUUGGAAGAAAAUACUCAUCUGAUCCCAACUGCGCUGCCACUGUGAAUUCAGGCUUCCAGCUUCCAGCACAGUGAGAGAUGUUUACUUCCUGUUAUUUUAUCCUGGAGCUUUGCUAUGUGGAUAAACCCGAUUAUCAGUUACACACUCUGCGCAGAUACUCCCCUUCUCCCUACUCACCUAACUUCAUGUUUCUUCCACCCCCUCCAAAAGAAAUGAAGCCAAGCUGGGCAGUGGUGGCACACGCCUUCAAUUCCAGCAUUCGAGAGGCAGAGGCAGGAGAAUCUCUGAGUGUGCAGAGUACCUUCCAGCACCAUGAACAAAGUCAAUAGUAGUGAAGCUUCUAGUUGGGCACCAGCUCAUUUCUUCAUGUGUCAUGAUGUAAGGCUGACUAUUUGACACUGGACAACAAAUUGGUGUAUUCUUUUCUGAGGAAGACCACGUCUCCUGCUAAAACAGAACCUGGAAGCAACCUAGAUGCCCCUAAACUGAAGAAUAGAUAGAGAAAAUGUGGUACAUUUACACAAUGGAGUACUACUCAGUGGGAAAAAAAAAACAAUGGAAUUUUGAAAUUCGCAUGCAAAUGGAUGGAACUAGAAGAAACCAUCCUGAAUGAGAGGAGAGUAUGAAUGCAGUCCCCCACUACCACAAAUUAUGCAGUUGAGUUUCCUGCAUUUGGAGAAAUCUCAGGAGUCAGCGUAUCCAGAGUGCAGUGGCUGAGUCUAGCCCUGGGAAAACCACCUUUGUGAUCACGGUACCUCUCCUGCAAGGGAGUGUAUUUGUUUUUCUCUUCUGCACUGCUGGAGAAGCCACCCUGGACCUCACACAUACUAGGGGUGCCAGCGCUCCCCAGGCUGCGCAGGACCCGAAUGACAUCGAGGUUCUCAUCGACGAGCAGUCCCGACGUUUGGGGGCGCUCAGGGUCCAUGACCCUCUAGAAGAAAGGUCGGUUGCUUUGGUGAAUUUCAUGCGCAUGAAAAGCCAAAGUGAGGGGUCUAUCCGGCAGUCAGACAUGCUGGAGUUUCUCCGAGAAUACUCAGAUCAGUCCCCUGAGAUACUCAGGCGAGCCUCAGCCCACCUGUCUCUGGUCUUUGGGAUGAAUCUGAGAGUUCUUGAUCCUCAGACUGACACUUCCAACCCAGCCAGCAAACCAGGUCCCCAGUCCACUGAACGGCUAGCAGAGACUCUGGACAUGCCCAAAGCAGGUCUCCUGGCCUUGGUCCUAGGGCACAUCCUCUUGAAUGGCAACCGGGCAAGAGAGGCCUCCAUUUGGGACCUGCUGCUAAAGGUUGAUGUGAUGGAUGAGCCUCAGAGGAUCAACAACCUCUUUGGGAACACAAGAAGUCUCCUUACUACUGACUUUGUCCGUAUGCGGUUUUUGGAGUACUGGCCAGUGUAUGGCAAGUUCCUGUGGGGCUCUAGUGCCCACAGGGAAAUCACAAAGAUGGAAGCCUUGAAGUUUGUAGCAGAGGCCCAUGAUGAAGAGCCCUGGAGCUGGCCAGAAGAAUAUAACAAGGCCCUGGAAGCUGACAAAGCCAAAGAGAAAAGUCAGGCUGCUGGCUUAGAGUUCUGGUCAGAGGACGCUAUGAAUGAUAAAGCAAAUGAUUUGGUCCAGUUGGCCAUUAAUGUCACUGAGGAGUUGCUGCCUAUACAUCAGGAUGAGCUAUUGGCUCAUACUGGUAAAGAAUUCGAGGAUGUGUUCCCAAAAAUCCCCAGGGGAGCCACUCUGAUCCUUGAUCUGUUUUAUGGGUUCUCUCUGAUUGAGGUUGAUACCAGUGAGCACAUCUACCUCCUGGUCCAGCAACCAGAAUCAGAAGAAGAGCAAGUAAUGUUAGAGAGCCUGGGCAGGCCCACCCAAGAAUAUGUGAUGCCGAUCCUGGGCUUGAUCUUCCUGAUGGGCAACCGUGUCAAGGAGGCCAACAUCUGGAACUUACUCCGGAGACUUAGUGUGGAUGUAGGAAGAAAGCACGCCAUCACCUGUAAGCUUAUGAGACAACGUUAUCUGGAAUGCCGGCCACUCUCCUACUCUAAUCCAGUCGAAUAUGAGCUGCUGUGGGGUCCUCGGGCUCACCUUGAAAUCACCAAAAUGAAAGCCUUGGAAUACAUGGCUAGGCUCUACAGAAAGCGGCCCCAGGACUGGCCAGAGCAAUACAGGGAGGCUGUGGAAGAAGAAGAGGCCAGGGCCAGAUCCGAGGGAACGGCCACGUUCUUCUUUGGCUCCAUGUGAAGUCUGAUGUUUCACUUUAGUUGAGUGGCAUCAGUUAAAGGGGCCUUUGGGGAAGGGACAAUCCUGUCCUAAAUCAGAAGUUGGGAGGGUUGGGGUUAAGAGUAUACCUUGUGCUUAUUGUGUUCCAAUUCUAACAGUAUUUCUUUCCUUCUAAUAUAUUCUAAUUGUCUUCAUGAUCAGUGUUUCUAAAUGAAUUGCUCAUUUUCUCUUCCUGUCUUGUUUCAGUAUAAAUGUUCAGAUAACUGUGUAAAAUGUAUUGGUUAUAUUUAUGUAUUUGAAAUAACCAGUAAAAUAAGCUAAAUAACAGUAACAAUACACACACAUGUACACAAACACACCCCAAACACAAAGCCCCUCAUUUGUGGUUGCCCUCCUUUUGAAUCUAUUGUUGUGUUAACAAACAAACUAACUAACAAAAACAAAAGACUGCCACUUACCUGUAUUUAAUUUGCUGUUGCAGAGUGUAGUAAAAAUAAAAGUAUAAUGAAUUAGA